rnacentral:tRNA from 1 species
GUACCCUUAGCUCAGUUGGUUAGAGCAGACGGCUCAUAACCGUCCGGUCGUGGGUUUGAGUCCUACAGGGUUAC